UCCAGACUCCUACGGGAGGCAGCAGUGGGGGAUAUUGCACAAUGGGGGGAACCCUGAUGCAGCGACGCCGCGUGGGUGAAGAAGCGCCUCGGCGCGUAAAGCCCUUUCAGCAGGGAAGAAAAUGACGGUACCUGACUAAGAAGCCCCGGCUAACUACGUGCCAGCAGCCGCGGUAAUACGUAGGGGGCAAGCGUUAUCCGGAUUUACUGGGUGUAAAGGGAGCGUAGACGGCAUGGCAAGUCUGAUGUGAAAACCCGGGGCUCAACCCCGGGACUGCAUUGGAAACUGUCAGGCUAGAGUGUCGGAGAGGCAAGUGGAAUUCCUAGUGUAGCGGUGAAAUGCGUAGAUAUUAGGAGGAACACCAGUGGCGAAGGCGGCUUGCUGGACGAUGACUGACGUUGAGGCUCGAAAGCGUGGGGAGCAAACAGGAUUAGAUACCCUAGUACA
rnacentral:rRNA from 1 species